AUUCCAGCUCCAAUAGCGUAUAUUAAAGUUGUUGUGGUUAAAAAGCUCGUAGUUGGAUUUCUUCCAGGGGCAGUCGGUCCACACUAUGUGUGCGUAUCUGAUUUGACUUUGGAAUCCUCUUGGGGAACAUUUGUGCGCUUCAUUGCGUGCUAUGGUAUUCAAGACUUUUACUUUGAGGAAAUUAGAGUGUUCACGGCAGGCAAUCGCCCUGAAUACAUUAGCAUGGAAUAAUAAUAUAGGGCUUUGGUUCUAUUUUGUCGGUUUCUAGAGCUAAAGUAAUGAUUAAUAGGGACACUUGGGGGCAUUCGUAUUAUCACGUCAGAGGUGGAAUUCUUGGAUUGUGUUACGACGAACUACUGCGAAAGCAUUUGCCAAGGAUGUUUUCAUUA
rnacentral:rRNA from 1 species